UACGUAGGGGGCAAGCGUUGUCCGGAAUCAUUGGGCGUAAAGAGCGUGUAGGCGGCUUGGCAAGUCUGACGUGAAAUCCUGCGGCUUAACCGCAGACGGUCGUUGGAAACUGCCUCGCUAGAGUCCGGAAGAGGAGAGCGGAAUUCCUGGUGUAGCGGUGGAAUGCGCAGAUAUCAGGAGGAACAGCCCGUGGCGAAGGCGGCUCUCUGGGACGGUACUGACGCUGAGGCGCGAAAGCGUGGGGAGCGAACAGG
rnacentral:rRNA from 1 species